UAUUAUUCUAAGAUUAAUAAUUUCCUGGGUUAGUAAUAGAUAUUUACUUAAAAGCUAAAAAAUUUGGCGGUAAUUAAUCUCUUCAGAGGAACUUGUUUUUUAAUCGAUAAACCGCGAAAAAUCUUGCUUAUUUUUGUAAAGUUUGUAUACCAUCAUUAUCAGGUAAUUUUAAAAGGGUUAAUUACUAAAAAUAAAUGUUUAUUAAAAUUAGAUCAUGGUGCAGCUUAUGGAUAAGUUAAAAUGAGUUACAAUAAAUUAUUUUAAACGGAAAAUUGAAGGAAUUUUCAUUUAGAAGGAGGAUUUGAUAGUAUCUUAAAUUUAAUAUGUUUAGGAGAUGAAAGCUCUAAAUUGUGUACAUAU
rnacentral:rRNA from 1 species